AGAUGGUGGAGGGGGCGGAGGGGAUCGUGGAGGAGGUGGUGGAACGGCUGGAGACGGAUAAGGAAAUGGUGUAGAAGGUGGUGGAAGGUCUGGAGACGGAUAAGGAGAUGGUGUGGAAGGUGGUGGAGGGGGCGGAGGGGAUGGUGGAGGAGGUGGUGGAACGUCCGGAGACGGAUAAGGAGAUGGUGUGGAAGGUGGUGGAGGGGGCAGAGGGGAUGGUGGAAGAGGCGGUGGAACGUCUGGAGACGGAUAAGGAGAUGGUGUGGAAGGUGGUGGAGGGGGCGGAGGGGAUGGUGAAGGAGGCGGUGGAACGUCGGGAGACGGAUAAGGAGAUGGUGCGGAAGGUGGUGGAGGGGGCAUAAGGGAUGGUGGAUGAGGUGGUGGAACGUCUGGAGACGGAUAAGGAGAUGGUGUGGAAGGUGGUGGAAAGUCUGGAUACGGAUAAGGAAAUGGUGUAGAUGGUGGUGGAGGGGGCGGAAGAGGUGGUGGAAAGUCUGGAAACGGAUAAGGAGAUGGUGUGGAAGGUGGUGGAAGGGGCGGUGUGGAUGGUGGAAGAGGUGGUGGAAAGUCUGGAGACGGAUAAGGAGAUGGUGUGGAAGGUGGUGGAGGGGGCAGUGUGGAAGGUGGAGGAGAUGGUGGAACGUUGGGAGACGGAUAAGGAGAUGGUAUGGAAGGUGGUGAAGGGGGCGGAACGUCUGGAGAUGGAUAAGGAGAUGGUGCAGAAG